GGGAGGUGUAAUCACCAGAGAGAGAGAGAGAACGUGUUGGUGGGCGAAACUCUAGAGAUUUGCCACAGAAGUGUAGAACGCUGGUAGAGUUUUUAAUAACAUAAAAGGAGGUCAAGGGUUCAAUUCUGAGAUAGUAAGAACUGCCGAUGCUGGAUUCGGAGAUAACACAGUGCGGAGCUGGAUGAACACAGCAGGCCAGGCAGCAUCAGAGGAGCCGGAAAGCUAAGGGUUCAACUCUCUUGCAUCUAAAUACGCAAUUAAGGAUGUACCUGAGCAAAUUUGCCAUGGCGGGAUUCGAACCCAGGUUCCCAGAACAUUAG